rnacentral:misc_RNA from 1 species
UUUCCGUAGGUGAACCUGCGGAAGGAUCAUUAUUAUAACCAAAUUCUCUACACUUGUGAACUGUCUGUGUGUGAUGUAUGUAUGCAUGCUGUUGAGUGUGUUUGUGCGUGUGUCUGUGUCUGUGUGUGUGUGUGUGUGUGUCCGUGGUGGUGGGGUGGUAUUUGCGUGCCACCGCAUUGCUUGCUCAUAGUAUAAUAUAAUACCAUAUGCAUAUGGAUGUUCAUAUAUACAUGCUAAUAGUCAUACCUCAUUCCCAUCCAUUCAGUCAGGCAAUAUCAUCAUCAUGUACAAUUACUAUAUACUACUAUAUCAUGACUGCUUUUUACAUGCAAGAGGUCACACUCUUCAAACAAAAAAAUUAUACAACUUUUAACAAUGGAUCUCUUGGCUCUU